GUCAGGGAGGAGUUAGGGCUGGAGGACCGGUCAGGGAGGAGUUAGGGCAGGAGGACAGGUCAGGGAGGAGUUAGGGGAGGAGGACCGGUCAGGGAGGAGACUUAGGGCAGGAGGACCGGUCAGGGAGGAGACUUAGGGCAGGAGGACUGGUCAGGGAGGAGUUAGGGCAGGAGGACCGGUCAGGGAGGAGUUAGGGCAGUAGGACCGGUCAGGGAGGAGUUAGGGCUGGAGGACUGGUCAGGGAGGAGUUAGGGCUGGAGGACAGGUCAGGGAGGAGUUAGGGCAGGAGGACGGGUCAGGGAGGAGUUAGGGGAGGAGGACUGGUCAGGGAGGAGUUAGGGCUGGAGGACCGGUCAGGGAGGAGUUAGGGCAGGAGGACCGGUCAGGGAGGAGUUAGGGCUGGAGGACCGGUCAGGGAGGAGUUAGGGCAGGAGGACCGGUCAGGGAGGAGUUAGGGCAGGAGGACCGGUCAGGGAGGAGACUUAGGGCAGGAGGACUGGUCAGGGAGGAGUUAGGGCUGGAGGACCGGUCAGGGAGGAGUUAGGGCAGGAGGACUGGUCAGGGAGGAGUUAGGGCAGGAGGACAGGUCAGGGAGGAGUUAGGGCAGGAGGAUCGGUCAGGGAGGAGUUAGGGCAGGAGGACCGGUCAGGGAGGAGUUAGGGCAGGAGGACCGGUCAGGGAGGAGUUAGGGCAGGAGGACAGGUCAGGGAGGAGACUUAGGGCUGGAGGACUGGUCAGGGAGGAGUUAGGGCAGGAGGACCAGUUAGGAGGCAGUGACUUAGGACUUCAGCAGUGGCACUAGAAAGGGGAUGGAUAUGAACGACAUUGCAAAGUAAAACUAGAGAGACGGCCGGGCACAGUGGCUCACUCCUGUAAUCCCAGCACUUUGGGAGGCCAAGGCGGGUGGAUCAUGAGGUCAGGAGAUCGAGACCAGCCUGGCCAACAUGGUGAAACCCUAUCUCUACUAGAAAAAAAAAAAAAUAGCCAGGCGUGGUGGCGGGCGCCUGUAAUCCCAGCUACUCCAGAGGCUGAGGCAGGAGAAUUUGCUUGAACCAGGGAGUCGGAAGUUGCAGUGAGCUGAGAUCGCACCACUGCACUCCAGCCUGGGCAAUAGAGUGAGACUCCGUCUCAAUAACAAAACAAACAAACAAAAACCUAGAGAGACUUGGCACCUUGCAGAGAGAAGCAAAAGAUGACCCUGAGGUCUGGAGUCCAGGAAGCCAAGGACAGCAAAAGCAUCCACAGAAACAGGAAAAGGGCAGGUGUGGGAGGGAAGGUGAGAGGUUCAUCAGACCUCACAGCCCCUGGCAGCGCCUCCUGGAUCUUUGAAAUCCUGUGCACCCCAGGAGACUCCGGGAGGCCCAUCUGAGCUCACCGGAGACAGGUCUGCCGUCUCUCCUCUCAUCACUGGGGACAGAAAGCCUGAACAUGAGGCCUGGACUACGGGGCUCAGACCAGAAUAUUUCCAGACUUAAGGGCAGUAAUGUGGAGCCCAGGAAGGAAUAUUGAGGACAGAGGGCACAUUACUUAGCUCAAGGGGUGCUGGGUUCUUAUUUUCUACUUUCAAGAAAUGUUUGCUAUAGUCACUGUAACCACCACAAAACAGUGAAUAAUACCAUGAGCCAAAUGUAUGUUUCACAAUUUGUAUGGCUGAUUCUACGCACAUUUAAAUGUGUUUAUGACAAUUGUAGAUUUCGGUUUUCCUCUGG
rnacentral:lncRNA from 10 species